AAAAAGCUGUAAUUUCAGCUUACCUUGUUUCAAAGUUUUUUUUUUUUUUUAAUCUUAAAAGAUGAAAAAUAAUAAACAUCGCCGGCCAGUUAAUCUCUCUGGUUACUGUUUAACUGCUGUGCAGCUGCUCUGUAAGUGAGUGGGUGGGACCACCCUGUGGUCUGUUACAUUGACACCUCUCUCUCUGUCUCUCCAGUCUUCCCCUUUUCACCUUACGCCCGCAUUCAUUCACUCUGCAGCUGCAUCACCCGACCACUUUCUCUCAGCCGAGCUCUCACUCUUUCUGUCUGUAUUUGUCUCAUCCAGUCCAGAAGAUGGAUGGAAGAGGCUCUAAAACAGGACAACAAUAGUCGCUAGCGCAAGGAUGGCGCAUUCUUUUUUCUCCCUGGCUGGUACAAAUUGGUCAACUGUGGACCUUUUCUUUUCAGAGCGAGGUGUAGGAUGUGGCGAGGCCGGGAUCUCAAUCGGGCGUUGAUGUGAACAAAGUUAAUCCCUCAUUGGUGCCGAUGUGACCCGAAAAAAAUCGGCUUAAAGUGGCUCCAUUAAACUGGACACAGUUUUGCCAUUCAAAGGCUGCACCAUUCCCCUUCUCUUUCCUUUAGUCUGCCCUCUCCCUCCUCUCUGCCACCCACACACACCAGCAGUAGUGCAGCAUUAAGACAAAUACAUUCAUAACCCUGUUUUAUUAAAGACUUGGGGCCCCUGGGUGUUGUGUAGGACCCUGGGGGGCUGGUGCAACAGCGGGGCGAUUAGGAUAAGACUUCCCAUGAGGAACACGAACACAGCACAGCAGCCAGUGGGCCCUAAGAUGUCCGUUCCCCUCCCACCUCGAAACCUGAUCCUCUAUUUCAUGCACAUUAGUGCUGUGUAAACGCUCCCCCAGGCUGCCUUUACAGUGAGCUUCGCUUUAGAAGAGCGAUGUGCUACUAAAGAUGCUGAGAAGCAGUAAUUUCUAUCUUGUUACACUUAAAAGGUGGUGUCAAAUUAGGCAUUGCAAAAUUAUAAUGUAGAGUAUGAAGAAUGGAUAUUAAUUUUGAUAUUUGGUAAUUCUUAGUGUUUUUAAAGAUUAACUUUCAGUGAGUGUUAGAUUACAGCAAAUAUAAUCAACCUGUAAAAAUAGCUGUGUGUAAUUAAAUAUCAGGUAAUAACCAUAUUUGCAUCCCUAGUGUGCAUUCAUGUAAUAAUGUUUUUUAAAGAUUAACUUGUGUACUUUACUCUAAUGUAAAUGUAAAAACAGGGGAAAUGGCAAUGCAAAAUUAAAUAAUCAACAUUGACUGAAAUGGUACAGAUAUAUUGAGUAUCUCUAAAAAUUGCUCAAAAAGUACAUAAAAAUGAAAUAAAAUCAUACUUUGUCAAAUUUUUGAAUCAGAAAUCUUAGGGGAAAAGUAAAAAAAAGAAAAGAAAAAAGUUCAUAAUACUUUCAUGAUUCAUCCAUGUGUACAUGAUUAAUAUUUCUGAUAUAUGUUCUCACAUUUUACUUUAACUGUCUUGUGGUUAAAUUCUUCAAUGCUGAUUCACAUUAAAGGUAUGCAGAAGGAGGCCUGAUCUCUGUUUUAUUUGUAUUCAUGCCUCUAUAUGUCUGUGUAAGAAAGGCCUGUUUCUGAUCAGUGUGCUUGAAAGUAAUGUGUGGGCUUGUGUGAUGUGUCCCAAAUCAUUAACAGUUCUGGCACAUGUGCGUUAGGAGUCUG
ensembl:lncRNA